rnacentral:rRNA from 1 species
UAUGCUUUAUACAUGCAAGUCGAACGAACCCCCAACUUCGGUUGGUAAGGUUAGUGGCAGACGGGUGAGUAAUACGUGGGAAUCUACCUAAAAGUACGGAAUAGCCAUUGGAAACGAUGAUUAAUGCCGUAUACGCCCUCCGGGGGAAAGAUUUAUCGCUUUUAGAUGAGCCCACGCCAGAUUAGCUAGUUGGUAGGGUAAUGGCCUACCAAGGCAACGAUCUGUAGCUGGUUCGAGAGGAUGAUCAGCCACACUGGAACUGAGACACGGUCCAGACUCC